UGGAAGUUAACAAUUUUGAUUUAAUUGAUUUAUGGACAAUACAAUCGAUUCUAUACAAUAAUUUGUAUAGAAAUCCUGACACCAGAAAAAAAUGCCUCGAGUGCAAAGGAACACGAUACGUGUUUCCAAUUUUAUCGAAAUAAUAAAGUUUCGCAAAAGCGACGAACGUCUCUGAAACGUUCACACGGAGAUGCACGGAUAGCGUCCGUCCAUAGUCGAGGGUCGAGCGUGUGCGUGUCGACGAGUAUUCAUUGUCAGCGAAACACGAGAGCAUGGUGGCUGCACUUAAUAAGCAGACGAAACGUUGAACCGACUGCGAACGUACGUGAGCGUCUAGCGCCGGUGGCCCGCGCGGCGCAUACGGGCGGUGCAUAACUGAGCACGCAUAGGAAAAAGGACGAGUACAAGAAAGACUAAUUGCCAGUGCAGUCGCGAGACCCGUUGACGGAUGCACGGUGGAAAGCUGUUGCGCGACAGAAGCUCGCGGAAUGCGCCGCGUUAUCUUUAAUACAACCCCACGGGAAUAAUCCUAAGAGAGAUGCAGUCCUCCGAGUGCAUUCGGGAUGUCUCUCAAAAAUAGCACGCUUAACCCUCCGAGAGACCAGUAAUUCCUUAGCGUCGCGCCUGAAGAAACGACGAACUUCGCGCGCAGGUUCUCCGACAAACGUUUUUAAGGGUUGUUUCUCCGGGGAAACGGUUAGGAAUUUCAGCAGGGUCAGAGACGCGUAAAAGAAAUUAAAUGUACGUACUAAACGCUGUUACGUGCUUGUAAGGUCUUGUAAAAUUAUUUUACACGGUGCGAGACAUCUUUUUUCUUUCUUUUUUUUUUCAUUACUGUCGAGUGUAGCAAUGUAUACCAAGCCGAUGGUGUGCGCUGCAUGAACGCGCGUGUAUUAUUGUGUAUAUAUAUAAAUAAAUACUUACUUUAUGUGUGCAAACGCGCGUGAACAAUUCAUUUAAAUCCUAACCCACUAACCAAACUGACAAUUGUCAAAAAUGCUAACAAUUUCCCGUGUACCUGCUAUUGGAUUACGGGAUUCUUAAAGAGACAAAAUUCACAGUCUUUAAAUCUUUAUAUUAUAUCCUUUAUUGUUAGGACGCGAAAGGACGUAUUUUCGCCUCAAGAUUCGAACUAAGAGCGAACUCUUUUUCCAAAGCCAUUUUUCCAUAGGGAUUUUCACACUGGCCUCUUGAACAGAAAUACUGCCAGAGGCCCAACUAUACGAAAUCAGCAGAAACGAAACGUUCCCUUUCGAGAAACGCAGUGUCCCUCGACUCUAGAUUCAUCUUUGUCACAUUUGUUUAAUAAUGAACCAACGAACCGGCAACGAACAUUCCCAACGAAUUUUCUCCGGAAACGAGCGAAUGGAAAGUAGCAAAUACGUCGAGAAUUCUCGAAUUCCAUACUUAUCGGAUUCCAGGGAGUUCUGUUGGUUCUGGUCGCGAUGGUGGGGGGAGAGGUGUAGAUUCUCGAUGACCUUGAACGGCCAGUUGCUUUCGUUUCGAGCGUAGCCUACACCGUACGCGGAAUGCUUCUUUUUACCGAAACCGCAUCGCCCUGUUUCCGAUUGGACGACGCGGUGCAACGCGGCGCCCCGCUCCAAAUGCGGGUGAUCGUAUCGUGGCACGCGUCGCGAGCAAAGUGGAAGGAAUAGAUCCGGUACGAUAGGGUUUUAAGAAUACCCGCAAAUUCUCAGGAAUGUUGUCCCAGGUCGUGGCACGCUAUCGCGGCUCGUAUGCUAACGGAGCAAUGGGUAAACUUGUCCUCUGGUGAGAGGCGAGUGACGCGACAGGGACGGAUCGAGGAACAAAGGGCCCCCUCUCACGAUCGCCAUUCAUCUCGUCUAUUAUCGUCCGUCGUCGCUGAUUAUAAUUCGUACAGAAAGGCGAAUACUCGGUCGAAAUUGUCGAAAGUUUUAAAGAUACGAUACGUUUGUCCUGCAUAUGCGUGAAAGUUUUGUAUGUGCGAGGAUGGGUCACUCUUCGCGAUAUGUAGAUACAUAUAUGGGUGUCACGUGACUGAAAAAGGAACAAAAGGAAGUUUCGAAAAUAAAAGAAACCUUUGAAAACUCCUCUCUGCCGUACCCUUUACCCAGUACUGCGCAUUUAGUUCACAGCGAUCGACCGAUAAACUAAUUCGAUUUGUAUUUUACACGGGCACGCAUUCGUACGCGCGCUCGCAGUCUGCUACUCGUGGAACCCGUAAGGAUCGAUCGAAUAACAGAAACCAGUAUCUGGAACGACUUUCCUUGCGAAGGUAGUCAGGUGAACGAUAUGGCUCGCGACAUAUCUCACCGGCAACCGCUGCAAACUUUUCUAUUAGGAGCGAGAACGCGUUAUCAACGUCGGAGGGACCGAUGCGGUUAAUCCACGUAUCGGUCUGAUAAUCUCUAAAGACUCUGGAAACUGUUAACUUGCCACUUUUACGUUGAUAUCGAACGGGAACUGACAACUAUUCGGUUCUGUGUAUGCUUAAGGGGCUUGAAACGUCAAAAAAUAAAAAAUCAGUUGAAAGAAUUUUGCUUUAUUAAAAUUUUAAAUAAUCACUUUUUUCGCUACUUUAUUCAAAAUUUAAACGAUUCCGAACAGUUCCGCGUAAACAGGAUUGAAUUUGGAGCACUGGAAGUGGUUCAACAAUUUUUUUGAAAAAUAGAUUCCUUUUUCUAACAAAAAAAAAGUUCUAGGCUUUCUGUACAAAGGUACAUUUUUCUCAGAUACGGUCACACCGAUACGACCCAAAUUUUGCACACUUGUUUUCUGAUAGCUGGGCUUAAUUUAUACCGAGGAUUUUCUUGAAAUUCACAAUGGUUAAUUUUCAAAAAAUGUUCAAAGUUGACAAAAGAAAUUUUGUGUCAAAAAGAUUUGUUUGCCACUUCCAGUGCUUCAAAUUCAAUUCUGUUUGCGCAGAACCGUUCAGAACCGCUCGAAUUUAAAUUUAAAUUUAAAAAAAAAAAAAAAAUAAA